AAUUGCUAGUAAUGGCAGGUCAGCAUACUGCCGUGAAUACGUUCCCGGGCCUUGUACACACCGCCCGUCACACCAUGAGAGUUGGAAAUACCCGAAGCCUGUGAGCUAACAAACGAGGCAGCAGUCGAAGGUAGAGCCAAUGAUUGGGGUGAAGUCGUAACAAGGUAUC
rnacentral:rRNA from 1 species